AUGUCUGGUAGUAUUACAGAAGCAGAAGUUGAUAGCAAGAAUGUUAAUGCAUGGGUGCAACAAUCGCUACCACCACCAGAUUUGCAAGUUUACAUGCCGUUCAUUGGUCUAAAUUCACAAGGAGAAGAGGUUGUUUUUGAAGCUCUUGUAUCCUCAUCUUCAAGGCUCUCUGACUUCGUGUUUCACAUUACUACAGAAGAGUCACACACCAUGACAGAGACAGAGACGAAGACAACAAUAACACUCAUUGAAACCAUGUCAGAUAGUGCUAACGAGGAAGAACAAGAUCAAAAACAAGAACAAGAAUAUGGUGAUGUCGAUUGGUUGGAUUACAUGAAUAUGGACACUACAAGAAAAAAUGUUUAUUGCAACGAAAAAAACCAUUGCAAUAACAUUAGAGUCAUUGCAAUAGUUGAUACAAAAUAUUGCAAUAAAAUUUGAGGUAAUAGGUUUAUGCAACAAAAAUUUUUGUUGCAAUAAACUCCAAAUAUUUUAAUAAUAACUUUGAUGCAAUGAUAUAUAUAUAUAUAUAUAUAUAUAUAUAUAUAUUGUUGCAAUAAGCAAUUUACUAUUUCAAAUAUCUUGUAAGUAUAGACUAUUACUUCACAAAACUUGUUAUAAUAGAUUGCAAAUAAUUGAACAAAAUAAUUCGGAUUAAAUUACUGCAAUGAUAUAUUCAUUGUAAUUGAUAAUUAAUUUAUUUUGUCAUUGCAAUUGACUAAGAAAUAAUUGAUAUCAAGUUAUUGCAACGACAUAUUCAUUGCAAUUACGUGUCUGUCAUUGCAAUAGAUUGUAAAAGAGUUAAUAUCAAAUUAUUGCAAUGAUAACUUUGAUACAAUAAGCUAUUAAUUCAAAAUUUUCGUUGCAAUAAAUUGCAAAAACAAUUGGUAUCAAUUUAUUGCAACGAUUCUUUCAUUUUAAGUUAUUGCAACAAUUUUUUCAAUUAAAGCUCCUAUUGUAGUUAAAAAUUAUAAGUUAUUGCAACUUAUUAUUGUUGAAGACGGGCAGCCGAGUAAAGAUAUCGAAAAUGACAUUGUCUGGGAGAUUGUUGGAGUUGAAUUGCUCAAACUAUUUUUGCUUCAUCUUGCAAGGCUGAGAUGACAUCGGUGACAAUAAUUUUGUUUCCUUGAAAAUUUUGUUAUAAAUUGUUGUUUAUGUGACUUUUUAUAUUGUUCAAGGCUUCCUUCUUGGAUUAGGAUUAGUGAAAUAGCCGACUAUAAAAAAACAGGUUUCCCUUAUUACAUUAGGAUUUGUAAAAUCUAGUUAGACUAGGAGUAGUACUUUAGGUAGCUGACUAUAGUAACACAUGGCUAGUAAAUACCAGCAUAUUCAUUAUUAAAAAAAAAAAAAAAGAAGCAAUCACACAGUUUUAAUUACUCGUAAACUUUUUUUUUUUUUAAAGAAGAUUUACUUGUAAACUUUUUUUAAACCCCCAAGCACUUUGUGUAUAGGAUAGUGUCAAUUCAGUUACAAAGCUUUUGGCUACUCGUAAACUAAUAGUCUAAUACUACUAGUAGUAUCAUUUAGUCUAGUAUUUAAAACUUUUAAUAAUUUGCCUAAGAUGAAAGCCCAGAUCUAGGUGGACCAAAUCAUGAUUUUCCUAUAUGAUGUAAUUAUAUUUACAAGUUGGUCUUCAAAUACAACUUGGCUUAAUGUUUAAAUUCUUUUUAGUGUAAGCAUACUCAGGAUAGUUCUAGAACAUGGAAUUAGGGAGGCGGUUUUGCAGUUGAAUACGUACAACCGCUUCAGCCUCCAGCUUUGUUGUUUAGUUGCUUCGAGUGUUUUUUUAUUUAUUUUUUUAUUUAUUUUUAAGUGUCUUCGAUGAGUACUGUUGGGUAAGGAAAAAAAUUAUUUUAUUUAAAAUUUUUUAAAGGGCUAGGUUGUUUGUUUUAGGGUAAAAUUGGUUGAUUGAGUUUAAUUUUUUUAAUAAUAUUUUUUAUAUUGUUAAUUUUUUUUGAUGGGCUAAUUUUUCAAGGCUUGUAUAUUUUGUUUUAAAUUUUAGAUUCAUAAAUUUUUUAUAGCCUUUAAAUGGAGGAAAAUGCUAGAGUUACAAAUGUAUUUAUAAAUUGUUGAUGUGGUUAGUGGUUAUUAUUAUAUAAAAAAGUGAUGUAUGUGAUAAAUCCAAAUGCAAACCAAUAAAAAAUUACUACCUUAACAAUUUAUAAAAAUAUUGUAGAAAAGUUUUUUGGUUGUAACAUUACUCUCAAAAGAAUUAAAGAUAUUAUUAAGGGAGCAAACUGUAAUUUUAUAGAACAAAACUACUAAUUUUAAUACCAAUAUAAAUACUAAUAAUUUUUUUUUUUUAAAUGGGGUGUGAGGGUAGAGAUGGGGGGGGGGGGGGGGGGCACGNNNNNNNNNNNNNNNNNNNNNNNNNNNNNNNNNNNNNNNNNNNNNNNNNNNNNNNNNNNNNNNNNNNNNNNNNNNNNNNNNNNNNNNNNNNNNNNNNNNNNNNNNNNNNNNNNNNNNNNNNNNNNNNNNNNNNNNNNNNNNNNNNNNNNNNNNNUUUUUUUUUUUUUUUUUUAAUUUACAUAUUUAUGUUAUAAUUUCUUGAACUUAUUUUUAUAUAUUAUAUAUUUAUUUUUUAAAUUUUUUUAUUUGACCUUGUAGUUCAGUAAUCCAUUGGUUUAUCCGGGUCAGAUUUAAUAACUAUGCUCGCAAGUAACUAGUGAAUAGGCUCACUUGUGAGUUCCAUUGAAUGUGCAAUUCUUCACCAACUCCAAAAUAAACACAUAUACAUUAAAUCCCACAAAAAAUACAAGGAAAUAAUUGCAUGAAUUACAAUCAAAUUGAUACGGAAUAAAGACAACUAACCAAACAUGGAAAAAUCACAACAAAUGAAUUACUUUAUGAAGUUUACAUACUUGAAACCACCUUGAAGACAACAAAUAUAUUGAAUUUAAACAUGACUCUUCUACGUAUCAUGUUCUCGAGAGGUGAAUUUUCUUGAUACAGGAAAAGAAAACUUUAUUAUAGAAAUACAAUUACAAGGUAGCUAUCCAAGGGACAAUCAAUUGCCGAUGUUUUCUUCUCAAAAAAAAAAAAAUUACUGAUGUUUUGGCAAAUUGAUUGAAAAAGAAUCUUGUUCGAUGUGGCACUUCAUGAUCCAUUUUAUCUAAUAAUAUAAACAAGUGGACUUUCUUAGCAAAAAUAAAUACUCCCUCCGUUCCAGUUUGUUUGUCCUCUAUUCCAUUUUGGGAUGUCUCAAAAUAUUGUCAUGUUUCUAAAAAUAAAAUUAAUUAAUUUACUAAUAUUUCUAUUAUACUCCUAUUUUAUUUUCAAAAUUAUUUGAAAAGAAAACUAACAAAUAUUUAAAAACUCAAUCUAAUUGGGCCACCUUUUUAGUUGCCUUAUUAAGAAUAACUCUUUUUAAAAAAAUUAAUAAAUUUAUUUAAGGGUAGUUUUGUAAACUUAUAUAUUUUUAUAAAACAGAAAAGACAAUAAAUAAUGUUCCCUUAAAAAUUUUGAUUUUUCAAACGGGACAAAUAAAUUGGGAUGGAGGUAUUAAAAAAAUAAACAUAAGUGGACUUUUUAAUUUGGUAACCCCACUAUCAAGGUUUUUUUUCCCACUCAAGCCUAGUUAAUGUCUCAUGAGUGUCUACAUAUCAUAGAAUCAGGGAUUCAGAUCUUCUAGAGUUCAUAGGGUACUCUACCAAAUAAAUUUCUUUUAAUCUUGACUUUUUAAUUUAUAAUGAAUGUCUCAAAUGAUGCUACAUCAUUAAUUAAUAACAAAAUUUUAAAAUAAUGAUGCCAUGUCAACUAAUUAAAAAAAAAAAUUUGACAUGUCAGAUAUUUUAAUUUUUUUUAAUUUUCAUAAACUUUAAAAAACACAGAUCUCACAAUCAUGACUCUCGCUGGAGGUAGAUUGUGCCAUCAGUGUCCACCAAUUUCAUGAUCAUAGCAGGUCCUUAAUUUCAUGGUUACGUUUCAACUUUUGGUGCCAUCAUUGGCUUUCUUCUUUUCUCUUUCUUUGUUCUUUUAUUAAUUACCUUUCUUUUUUUUUCUUUACGGCUUGAAAUUGAUUUUGCAUAAAUCUAUGAUAUAGAUGCGGCCUCAUUCAAAUACAAAUUACAACGCAUUAUACCAAUGAAGGUUUACAUUGUAUUAAGUGAAAAAAAAAAAGCACAUAAUAAGGAUAUAAUUUCAUUGGAACGAGUUGAACUAUAUAAAUUGCACUCUUUGAGAUAUAUUCAAAGAGAGAGAGAGGGAGUGUUGUGUGGGUUUAGAUGUUAAGAUCUCAGAGAUUGGGUUGUGUGGACUUCAUCUUGAUCAAAUUGUCUAUCGUCAUUGGUGUUGAGAUCUCGUUGGAGACAAUCUAUGCUGUUAGUGUUGGCAGAACCGGUGGUGAACAGAGAGGUGAAACGAAAGACAGAAAGAGAUGGUAA
rnacentral:sRNA from 1 species